GGUGAUUGACCUCAAUGCUAAUGGUUAUCCCCAAGGUUCAACGAAUGGAGCUAUGAUCGUACCCAGAUAGAGAUGAUGGUCUUCCUCUGAUGUCUCCAAGUCGGCCAUAAUAGAAUAGGUAGGCGAAGCAGCCAAUAGCAGUCUGUUCUCGCCUAUCGAUAGAUAGCAGGUUGCUUCCAAGCUCAAACCAUUUGAAACGGAAUUGCUAGUUAUUUAUUGUUAUUGAUAGAGUGCUUCCAAGCUCNGCGCCUGUAAAUACGUAGCCAUCCAUUAAGGAGAACCUACAAUUACAAAAGCACAUGACUCUGUGAAUAUGUAUAACUAAAAAAGAUAGAAACAUAAUUACAUCCUACUUGAGGAAAUCCUAACCAAUUUAUGGACAGAAAAGAAUUAAAUACAGUGCAAAACUGUAGAGCUACUGAGUCAUAUCCGCAUCUUAGAUACUAGUAAUUGCAGAGUCAAAUAUAAGGAGUUCCACCAGGAAUAAACUAAAUGCAUUCAUAACUCCUAGAGAGUUACCAAAAUACGAAGUUAUCUUCUCCUUUCGUUCUCAAAAGAAGAGUUUGAUCCUGGCUCAGAAGAAAUGCAGCACGGAGCGAACAAGUUCAGUCGAACAACGUAACGAGUCUAAGGGCGGGAUCAAGCUAAAAAAGAAAAGGAAUGGACGGCCGUAGGCAUGCAUGGGCAGAAAACAUACAAAAGUGGUGCAAAAUUGUAGAGUGAUGGAACCACAUCAUAGAUACAAGUAAUUUACAAAGUUGUCCAUAAGGAGCUCCUACAAGCAUCUACGAUAUAGAAGAUUAGUCGUGAAUGAUGAGACUCUUUUUUAGCUCUUGUAGAAUUUAUUGCAAGGCACCAUUACAAAAGCAAAGACCAAAGGUGCUUCGUGCUCAAGAAUGCAGAUAUCCUAGUGCAACCUCACACUAACAAUACUAUGCUUCAUCGGUACAGCUUAAAAGUCAAGAUAACCUAGUCCACUAUUAAGGUAAAGUAUAAGGGGGUAGACUAAUAUCCAAUUUGAAUGACAACAUAAGACAUACCGGUUCAAAGAAAAUGAUACAAAAUUACUGACAAGAAGAUUGAAUGACAUGUGAGGACCAGCAAUCUCUGGAAUAAUAUGUAUGUCUUUACAUAGUCCGUAUCUAUGCCCUUUAAAAUGUUAUUAAAAUUAUAUAAAUGCUAAGUAGACACUAUAAAUAUCAGAUGGUGCAAAGGUUAGGAUACCUACAAACAUGAACGCAACAACAAAAGCAAGCCAUGGCAAGUGAAAAAUUGAAAUGGCAGAUGCUUCUUGAUCCUCCCCUCCAGCACCAACUCCUGCACAUUAAGGAUCACAUAUACAUUGGCAUAAGUCAUAACUCCUGGCCUGGUAGAUUAAAACAAAAAACAAUCUUGAGAGAAUUAUGAGGUCAAACUUCAGCAAGUGGUAGAAAGUGAUGGUAGAAUUCUCAAAAUUACAAGGCCCAAUCUGAAUCUCGAAGAAGCAUUGCUUUUUAUUACUGGAAAUUCCGUUGAGCAGAUGAUAGCUGCACUUUUUAAAUUAUUCUAGUAAUCCUCCCCAGUCCCCAUGGCCAAUGUGAUGUGAGAUGUAAUAUCUCAAGUUUGCUAAAUAGUAAGUACUGGAUGAUCAGUUCUCCAAACCUAGUUAUGAAUGUUGAAUAAACUGCUUCCAAGUCUACAUUGUCUCUGCUCAUCAGAAAUGAUUUGUACCCAUACCUGGGCACACCACUCUGUUCCUACUUUAUUUAGGAUUAUAGGCCAUCCUUAAUGUUUUAAGCACUAUUUCUUUCUUUUAUGAGCCUAUAAAUUUAGGUUGUAGGCAUACUGAUUUUGCAAGAGAAUUAAGGAUGUUGAAUCUGGGAUGGCUUGUAACUCGUCUCUACCAUAAAUAUAAGUUGGUUUCGCUUAUGGAAUCGGGAGUUUAACCAUGCUACACUGCGAUUCUCAAGUCUUCUUUGUCGCUUAUUUGUUUCACCUCUAUUUGCUAUUUUUGGGAUCGAAAUUCCAAAUAAAAUGGAAUCAAAAAGCAUUGCAUUCAGGGCUCUAUCUGUAUCUAAUUUGUGCAAUUUAAAACAGUGCAACAGCACAAUCUAUGGAUUCACUUGGGGCAGUCUAAACAUAUUAAUCGGCGGGGGCAUCGAUUUUUGUUCAGCUAAUUGACUUCCUGCUGCCGAUGCAUAGNUGCAUCGAUUUUUGUUCAGCUAAUUGACUUCCUGCUGCCGAUGCAUAGUGGGUCUACAACUCCUUUGUGUUCAUUACUGGGGUUGAAACGAUCGGGAAGCACUUUUAACAUCAGAUGGGCCGCAUACACAAUAAAGUAACUUCUAUUAGAAACAACAAGGCAGGUAUGGGUGAAUUAACUUCACAUUGCAGCUGUAUUACUAAAUCUAUUGUUCAUCUAAAAGAAAAUUUUGACAUAAAAAAGCAAAAAUUUAUAACCUUCGUUAAUCUAAGAACUAAACAUCAAAUCAAAGAUACCAGAUUUGGCAGUUGCAUUUAAAAUAUAACUCUAAGGAACUUACAUUACCUAUGGUGCCAAUGCCAGCUAACGUGAUCCCAACCCAGUCAACAGCAUUCAUCAUCUCCUUUAAAUAAUAAUGGGAAAAGAUAGAAAGUAUAGCAAGUCCACAACCAGAAACUGGUUGAAUGACUGAGACCUGGAAUCAAUCAAUUAUAACAACAUGUUACAGGGAGAUCUAAUAACCUAACCGAUUUUGCAGUAAUAUGCAGCUUGCAUCAUAAUUUGUUAUUCACAUAUUUAAAAACGCCUACAAUGAUCAAUAUUUGCACUUGAUGCAAACAUUGCAUGUCAAAAAAAGAAAAUUCAGACUAAAGUAUGAUCUUAACAGGACUACAGAAGGAGAUUGUAAAUAUUCUUGGCCAAAAAAAAUCAUGACCAAAGACAGAGAACCUUGGUUCUAAUGACUCUCAUGGGAAUCUAGAUAUGUAAUGUACCAGGAAAGUCAGAAUUGUGUUUCCCAUCAAGGAAUAUAGUAUAUACCAAUAUUGGGCACCUCCUGUAAAUAUAAAUGACAGUCGAAAUCAAUAGCUCUUUAGUCUACCCUUACCAACAAAUGCCCUGGGUAAAGGAAGGGGGAAGCAGAUGCGAUGGUCCAGUAAAAAUUGGAUUGUUAAACAAUUGUUAGUUUGUUUAAAAAUGUGCCUUCAUUUUACUUGGGGUCUCUCUAUUAUAUAUAUAUCGAACAUCAUACUUAGAUUUGUUUCUAUAUGACUACAGGAAAAUUUAACUACUCUCAAGUCUAGACUUUCAAGUUUUAAUCAACAAAUUCCUUAUAAAAAAGAAAGGGAUAGGGGAGGGUUACGAUAAUUUAACAGGUUUUUAUAUCAAAGUGGCCACCGUUCUCGUCAAAAUAUCUCAUUUAGUUACCCGAUCUCCACGGGGACUCAUUUAAAGCACUCAAAUCACUAGAUAUAUCACUCAAGUUAUUGAAUAAUUUUUUUAACAGAAUUGGAGAUUUUUUGUUCAAUAGAUUAGUUUUAGACAUAAGCAAUUAGGAUAUUUUUGGUUUAAUCACUUGAAAUCAAGUACAAGAACAAAUUAAGGCUGAAAGUGUUAAGAGAAGAUUAAAGCAAACAUAUUAUCUAUGUGAAUAUAUGUGUUCUGAAAGUGCCCGUGCAUUAUAAUUGUGAUUUUUUUUAUAUAAUAUGAGUCACAUGUAGUACAUAUUAUCUUGUGACUAGGAUUUCGUAAAGUUUUCUACCAAUAACUUUUCUACAUUUAAUCUAGUGAUAUUUAUAAUGAUCUGAGUGUUUGAAAUGAGUCCCUAUGGAGAUUGGGUAGCUAGGUGAAAUAUUUUAACCAGAAUGAUGGACACUUUGAUAUAAAAUCCUAAUUUAAUAUAUUCAAUUAAGAUGAAAAUAUAACACUUUGAGUAAACAAAGAAUUUGUACAAUUUUUGGUUAAAAAUAACAAGAGGAUUACAAUUAACAAAGCUAAGAGAUCCAUUUCAACAGUCUCCGAGAUUAUCAAUAUGAAAACCACACAAUCAUAGGCUUUACUAUUUAUGCACCCUUCUAAAAAAGAUAAUUUAAAAAAUAAUCUAUCUUUACUUUAUGUUUUUGGAUAUAGUAGGCCAACACUCAUAUGGUCGGAACAAGAAAAUAUGGAAAGAUGUCAUAUAACAUGAUGAAACGUCAAAUCACUAAGAUACAUACAUUUAGACAAGCAACCAAUUACUUGUUUAUAUUUCUUUGUGAAGUGUCUAAACUCUUCCAAUUUCUUUUUAUUUUUUUAGCAAAACUAGUGCACGUGCACCUUUAUCUUGUCUCUUUGUAGUAUUUUUAUUGUGACCGUAGCUUCUAUCUGUUUCAUUGGUUCUUACCCUAUUUAAAGUCUUCUCAUACAUUUCGGAUCUUCUUUCAUGUGGAUUAUAUAUAUUAAACUAUUCUCAGGUAUUCGCUGAUAUGAUAUUUUGCUUUUAUCUUUGCCUUCAUGCAUAAUCUCGGUGGCUUAACCAACUGCUUUGAUUAAACAGAUUCCGUGGACUCAGUUUGCAUAUCAGGAUGAAGAGGUACUUACAGGAGCUAGAGAUAAUGCUCGCAACAUCAGCAUGGCUCCAAAUAUAUCCAUUAGGAAACCACUUAUCCAUGGUUUGUUAAAAACAUACGCUCUUAUGACCUGGAAACAGAGAGAGAUGUGUUUAUCCAAGUUUCAUACAGAAAAGUUUUUUUAAAAAAAACAAAAUAUUAUUCUUGAAUGAAGAAAAAGAAGUUAACUGAUAACUACUAAAAACUAUUACUAUAGUAUGGGAUCAUGUACAACCUCUAAUAAGCAACGAUAGUGAUAGUGUGAUACACAAAGGGUAAGGUAAAAUUCUUUUUAGUUGAACAAAUACAGUGAUCGUAUGAGGAAACAAUUCAAAUUAAUCAAAGAAUCUUUACUGCAUUUGAGUUUUUACCAAUUUCAUGUGUAGAAAUAGUGGAGUAAAUGACUGAUCACUUCUGAGGGACAUAGCAUCCAAUAAAAAUCAAUAAACUGAAUCCUAGUACUCAAUUGACAACCCAGAAACAAAAUCUCCUUUUCGGUAUCGCAGCGUAAUUGUUAAAAGCAAAAUAAUGACACACAUGUUUUCAAUCCAAAUUAAUGGAUAUGAAAUACUACCCUUUAACAAAACAAAGCCUACAUCCAUACCCACCGACAGGAUCACAGCAUUACAAGAAAAUGGGUUAGAGAUUUAGACAAAUAAGAAUAAAGUAAAUCACAAAUUAUAGCAUAAAAAAGUAUAUUAAAGAAAGUGUAUAGAGAUUAAAGAAAAGGGAUUGGGGAUGUUUUGCCUUAAGCUUCAAGGAGAGAGGAGGGAGAAUAAUAGUGCCCUUUUUCUGGAGAACUUUUCCGAUGUUAUUUCCGGCGGUGGCUGCCAGCGUAAGUAAGAUCGCUUCCCACAUCUCUCUCGCUGCCCCUCUCUCUCUCUAUCUCUCCCUCCUGUGUUUCUUCUAUAUUUUUGUGUAAAAAAACAGCUCGUGAUCUUUUCCACUUAAUUCGCUUACUUUAUUUUAUUAGCGGAUUUCCACUAAAAGGCUAGUUAUUAUCUGCAGCUACAAGAUUUUAUGCAUUUAUUUAUUAUUUAUAUUUCCGAUGUUUAGAAAUAUUUUAAUUUCAAAUUAUGUUUAUAUAACAUGAGAUUAUGGUAAUAUCUUUUUUUCAUUUUAUUUAUAUAUAUAUGUAUUAGUAUAUUCCUGUUUCAGAUUAUUAUUCAAAUUUACAAAAAUAUACUAAAUUAAUAUGAAAUAAAUUACAAAAUUGUGGUCAAACGCAGCGCUCUUAUGUUCAAAAUUUCACUUUUAUAAUCUGAUGUUUCAUAUUUUGAUUUAAUUUUUCAAGAAUUUGACUACAGAAUUUUUUUUCGAAAGAGAUAUUUAACCACUUUUUUGAAGAUGAAAAUAACAAAUAAUCAAUAAAACUUACUCAAUGUGUAAAUAAAAUUUUAAUGUCCGAAAAAAAAAAACCGGUAUUCUUCCAAGAAUUCUGAAAAUAAAACAAAGGAAACAAGAAAAAUAUAAGCCGAUGUAUAUUAGAUUACAUAAAUUAUAAAAAUAAAAAAUAUAUUCAAUAAUUAAUUAUUAAUAAAAUCACGUGUAUAUGCAUGUGCUGAUUAAAAAAUAUACACAAUUAUGAUAACUCAGACAAUUAAACUCUUAAUUGCCCGGUGGUUAAGUGUUUAUCCUCUGUUGGCCAAGGUUCUGGGUUCGACUCUGACUCACCUCGAGAAUAUCUUAGAACAGAUACUCAAAUUGUAAGGCUAGACUACAUUAGUCAAAAAAAAAAACCCCUUAAUUAAGACACAAUUGAUAAAAUAUUAACGUCAUUAAUUAAGACACAUAGCCCUUCAAAUAAGGCACAGUUUACGCCCUUAACCAAAUAACGCCCUCAAUUAUAAGGCACAAAUAACGCCUUCAAUUAAGGCACAAUUAACGCUUUUAUCUCUGAAGACGGAUUCUAGAACUGUCGUCGCUGCGACCCUCAGCCACCGCCACCACUGCCACCACUUUUACGCUAUCUCUCUCGCACACGACCGCAAAACUAUAAACUCAGAUUAUCAACCGAUUACUCAGCGAGGCACAAAUCAAACAAAAAGUUUAAUUAAAAUCAAACAAAUAACUAUAAUCAACAGCAAUUAAUCAUGAUUUAAUCAAACAAAAAGAAAUUCAUCCAACUGGAAAAUAAAUGAACGAAAAACGCAUACGUUUCAUCUUUGACGGCACCGAAUCAGAACGGAGCAUAUCGACGAGCAGUAUCAUUUGAAAAGAAGGAAGAAGAUAAAUAUAUGUGGACGUGGAAUUUGAAUUUUUAGCCUCAAAAUUGGAAUCUGAUAAAUUGGGUGCGUUGACAAGUGAUUAACAAGGGGUGGUUGUUGAGAGUGAGAUCGUAAAUGAUGAUCCGAUGUUGGCCAUUUUUUAUUGCAAUUUUUGAUUGCAGACGAGACCUUCGAUUUGGAUAUAAAGCUAGAGAGAUACGAACAGAUAGAAGAUCCUUGAGCAUACAUUUUAAUUCAAUUUAUAAGCUCAAAUUCUAUACCUACUGCAAAAAACACUUUAGUUUUGAUUAUUGACUGCGGAAAUACUGUGUAGUUGAGGACUUGGUGAAUGUUACUAUGUUAGUAAUGCUGCUGCAACCUGCAAGCAAGCAAGGUGUGACAGGCAAGAUGGGUGUGACAGCUGGGUAACAGCUGGAGGCUUAGUUGGCAUGCUGAGCUGGAUGUGUAUAUGUCAAUUAGUCAUUCUGUUAUAAACUCAUUUUUCUAUAUUCUCUCUCUCUCUAGUCAAGUUCGUAAGAUAUUGAAGGAAUGUAAAUACAGUGUUGCUUUCAUAGAUGCACAUGCACUCUAGUGUUUUAGUAGAAGCUUACAUGUUCUAUCAACAUUCUUUAAAUUUGAAAUUCUUUAUGUUAAAAUGUUAAAAAGGGAUAAAGUUUCAUCACAAUUUAUUCAUUAUUAUAUAAUUUGUGGUAAAAGAAUACUAAAUAACUAUUUUUGUAUUCUGUAAAAAAAAAUUGGAGCUGAACAAAUAGUUAAGAUGCGAAAUAAGGACUAACAAGAGAUUAAUUGAAUCGAUCAGAGAUUAGUUAGAUAAUUAAUUGUAUAAUUGAAAAUUUAAUCCACUCGACGAGUUAUGGAACAAAGAUUAUUCAUUGAUUAAUCAGUCUUUCACAAUAAUAAUCUUUUUUUAGUUGUUCUCCCGUCCCUUUCACUUAAUCCGCUCGACGAGUUGUACUUUUUUAUUGUUUGUAUAUCUUCAUGUUUCUUCGCGUUCCAAUUCUCAAAAAAAUGUUAACUUUUUAAUUAAUCUCGUCAUCUAUUUUCAUCCACAUUUUUUUAUUUAUCAAUUAGAUAUUAAUAGAUCCUAAUAUCUCAUUUAUUUUUGUUAUUAUUUUAUCAUAUUUUAUAUAUAUUUUCUAACUUUCGUGUUCCAUCCUAAUAUAAAAAAUUGAGAGGGAAGAGAUGGAUGAAUUGUAUCUUACAAAAACACAUCUUGUUUUCUUGAAUCAUAAAGGCCCAAAUGACAAUUAACAUGAUAAAAUUCUCUUGCUAUUGUCCAUAUCGUAUAAACCGCAUUAAUUCGUAUCAUAAAAUAAUAUAUUCAGUUUUCAUGAUAUAAUUAUGGAUUACAUUUUUUAUGAAUCACAUGACAUGGGUUGUAUUUUUAACCAAGAAAUGUGGUCCAAAUCACACCGUAACAGAUAUAAUAUUAUUAUUUUAAUUGAUAUUAUACGAUUCUAAUCUUGAUUUUUUAUACAUUACUAUUAUUAGUCAUCAUUUUAUAACAACAGAAAUUAAAGUUCGAUAAAAUAAGUGAUAUUACAAAUGUUGAGGUCUAUGCAUGAAUAACAAAAUAAUCAAUUUACAACUAAAUCUCCGGGAGUAAAUGAAAAGAAUAAAAAUAAUGGACGCUCUUAUUUUUUUAAUAUUUGAAAAAUAUUGAUAUUUUGUAACCAAAGGAUUGGCGAACACCUCUCUGGCCGGGCCUAUUAUGAAGCCUUGUUAAGGGAGUUCUGCCCCCGCUGAGGUCUUCAUUAUCAUAAUGAAAUUAACACUUGAACCAAAUUCCAAAAACUUGAACUAAAUAUAGAAAAACUAGCUCAGCAACACCAAACUAUUGCAUGAGAAAACAACAAUACCACAAGGAAAAAUGACAAGUCAAGGGUAGUCAAACAACCCUUCGAAGCAUAGAAGUAAUAGUACGGAUUUGAGGAAUUCUUUUGCCCUGUAUUAUAACUCGGAAAUGUGCCUUGUCCACCCGGGACAGGCACAUAGUUAAGAUCAGGAGAAGGUGGAGGUGGAGGUGGUGAAGGCGAAUCAGGGCUCUCGCCCCAUGCAAUGUAAGAAGGUGGUGGAGAUGUUUUUGUGGGAGCUGGCGAUGAUUUCUUUGGCGGUGGUGGGGAUUCAAAAUAAUAAGAUUGCUCAGGCGGUGAAGAGUGGUGAGGUGGUGGUGGUUUCGGAGGCGAUGGGGGUGGGCUUGCAGUGCUUUUUAGUGGUGGAGGUGGGGGUGCACAUAUGACAGGACAUGAUUCACAAUCACUAAUGCAGAAUAAGCCUUCUGCGGGCGAUAUGGUAGAUGAUGUUCCGAAUGUUGGUUUGGAAAGCAAGAUCAUUUCUAUGAUCACAAGUGUUGUGGAGAAAAAUGAGCAUUUUGAGUUGAUGAAUGUUGGGCUAUUGGGAGGUUUCAUUUUGUGAGAGACAAGUAAAUGUUAGUAGUAUCUGGCUUUUUAUUUAUAGAGUAAAGCUAUAAACAAGCCAACAAAUCCUUAUACUAGUGUGAGCUAGAAUCCUCAAGUACAACAAAACAUGACUGAGAUUUUAUUUUAUUUUUUAAAAAAAGAGAAAAAGAGAAUAUUAAAUUUUCUUGCUGAGAUGGACAACAUGAGCUGGGGCUGAACUAGCCUUGUUUGAUUCCUCUGCAUUUUACAGAUGUAGAGGAUAGUUAAAAUACAUCACAGAGAAACAUAUUCUUUUCAUUUGAAGGGGGCAAAGUAUAAAACGAAAAUAAAAAAUAUAAGGAAAUUAGCUUUCCUUUUCAUCAUAUGUUCCUUUCUCCAUCUGCAAUCAAACUUUGUACAGGCAUAAAUUCUCUCAAACCAACUUUAACACUUUAAGCAUUCAUCUUUUAGUGUAUGUAUGCCUUUCUUAUACUUGUGGACUUUGGCUUUGAUCUUAUCGAGUUCAGUUUAAUGCCUUCCUUAUAGUUAUGGACUUUUGUGAUUGCGAAUUUAGCUUCUUCUUUUUUCUUUUUUAAAUCAUCAUGCUAGACUGCUAGUCUUUAAACGAAACAAAACUGUACAGUUUACUGUUCGACUUCCAACUCAAAUCUAUGAGCUUGGUUUGAUAGGCGGACUCCAGUCUGAAGAGGAAAAUAUUGUUUGAUUUUUCAGCUUGUCAAGCAAUGCUAAGUUCAAUAACAAAAAGUCCAUUUUGAUAUGUUAUCCAAAUGAGUUUACAUAAAAAAAUAUGUUCAGUAAUUUUAUCAAGCACAGUCCAAAUUUAAUAAAAUUGCCAAUAAUCGAUAAAUAUUUUUGUGUGUACUUUCUGUUUGAAAAUUAUGAAUAAUAAUCUCACAUUGAAUAGAUGUAUAAAUAUUUCAUAAAAAAUAGAUGUAUAAAUGUUAUGAUAUUUGUUUGGAGUUAGUAUUUAUUAUUUUUAAGCGUUUACAUUAAAAUGUAAUAAGAUAAUUUAUAUAUUAAUAUAAAUAUAUACACAUACAGACAAAUCUUUCAUAAACCACAUCACACACUAUAAUAAACAGGUUUUAAUAUCCAAAAUUUGGUUUCAUCAGACUCCGAUCUUACUGGAUCUCGUUUAGAACUUAUUUCUAAUUCCAAAAUCCUUAUCAAAACAAAUUUAUCUGAUCCCAAAAUCCUUCUCAUUCUACUUGAUAAUAUUGAUAUUGAUUAUAUUGACAUGUGUUUUACUCAAAACAAGUUAGAAUUUCGAUCUUUCCUGACCCGGCGCUUGAAACAUGUAAAAAAAAACUUUUAAUAAGGUGAAAGACUGUUAUAUAUUUUAUCGUCAAACCUUAACAAAAAUAUUAUUUUUAUAUUAUAAUUUAAAAUAUAUAAAUAUUAAAAAAAUUGUAAUUGUAAAAACACAAGCAGAAUAAAAAGAGCGAAGAGCGCCGGUACCAGAAAAACCCUAACAAGACCGCCGCACACACGCGAAUGGCUCGUACCAGCAACAUACUUCUCGAUUUAGAAGCCGACAACCCUGCUUCGUCUUCUAUAGGUACUUUCUCUAUCUCUCUCUUCUGCGUACAUAAAUGUUUUCGAAUUGUUCUCUUUGAAUAUACGUUUCUUUUCAGUUAAUUGCUUGUAUCGCAUUGAAUUACACAUUAUUUGCAGAAUCCAAACUUCUUUUCUGCGUGAAUGAUGAUUUAAGCCGGCAGCCUAAGGUUGCGAAAUCGAUUCAGCCUGAGAAAAAACCUGCAAUUAGGCCCCUCCCCAAAAGCCAAGGUACAUAGAUAACCCUAAUUUUUAAGUAUAUGCACGAUACUGGGGGCCAUUGUAUUCUCCUAUGUUGAAUUAUUGUCAUCUGUGAGUUUAAUUACAUCGUUAUCACGUUUUUUGUGUAUAGAUGUAUGAGGGGUGGUGUAAAGAAUUAAAGAAACUAGUGUGACUCAAUUUUUAUAUCCCGUAGACCAUUGUGAAAGACAUUGUUACAGUUUUAAUUGCCGGCUCUGCGUGAAUUGUUGUUGUUUAUAUAGAGACUGAGCUGUACUUAGUAGUUCAUCUUAUUGUAUGAUGAUCAGCAUAUGUAUUAUUUUUCACACUUGAAGAAGGGUUUUGAAGUCCGAGUUGAUUAAUAUUUAGUGAGAAUUGUUGCCGAGUCUUAUUUUUAUACUAUUUUUACAGUUCUGGAUAAACUGAAGGAUUUCUUACCAGUCAUGUCUGAAGCAAAUAAAAAAUUGCAGCUUGCUGCCAUGGUACUACUUGAAACUUGAAUAAUGUUGUGGGUUGUUUCUUUGCCUGCUAAGAAUUUUUACCAUUGUUAUGGUAUGAUAUAUGCAGGACAAUACGAAGGUAUUUGAUAUUGAAUCCAUUGAAGACGAUGAUUCACCACAUAUUGAAAUGGUAUGUAUAAUAUUUUUUUUUCAUGUUCUAUCUUUGCUGAAGUUUACCUACCAUAUAAUGUAAGUUAUGGUUGCGAUUAUAUAGGAUCUGAUGCUGGGUGUUGCUGACCUCAAUACCCCUGAAGCUAUUGCUGCGGCCGAGUCUGCAAUUAAUGGGAAUCAACCAGCUUCUUCCUCUGUGGCUACAAGUGAGUCGAGUGACAGCAGUGACGAAGAUGAAGUAGAUGACAAUCACAGUGAGAGCACCUCAGAUGAUGAGCACAAAGAGCAGCGUGGCUCUAAUAAACAUGAUCAGGGGAAAAAUGACAGGAGUCUUAAAUGCCCUCCUGUGAACAUAAAAAGAGCCAAGUCUAUUGGCACGAAACUAUACGAAAAAAUGAGAAAAAAACAACCAAACAAGCGGCCAAAGAUUGUGGAGCUUUAAUGAUACCUUAGCAACAUGAAAACUAAGUCACAAACUCUAAAGUUACAUCUUUCAGGAUUAUGUCAGAGGAUGAUGGUGCAAUCAAGCUAGAAAAAGUUUUGCAACCAGGUUUUAGCGACAUUGAGGUGAAUCUAUUUCAUGUUCUCUUGAAUAACCCUGUUGAUGGAUUUUCGGCAGUGUGGUCGAAGAAAGCAAAAGUUUUGAUAUAGUGUUACUAUUGUCGACCUACAUGAACCUUGUAGCAAUUGUUGUCUAUUCAAGAUUUUGCUCCGUUACUUUAUGAUCCAAAUUUGGACAUGUGGGAUGUGGUCAUUUUAUUUUGUUGCAAGCAAUAUACUAUUUUGUGUUGGAAGGAUCUGGCAAGUGAUCAAAGUUUGCCACGGGAGGAUAGCCCUCUAAGUUGGCCUUUUUGUUUCCUGCUUUUUCCUUCAGAAAACAUCUUGAUGUUUGUGUCUUUCAAAGCUGUUUCCAAGAAACAAUUCAACACCAUAUUUGUCACACUCUUGAAAGACAAUUGACAUUGCGAAAAUCUUUAAAAUUUAUGCAGAGUUUGGGAUAUAUAUACUCCAUCUACUGAUUUUGACUUUUUUUAUAUCUAAUUUGAAAUUUCAAAAAAAAAAAAAAAUCCCAUUGAACAUAAUUAUAUUUUCUAAAAUUNAUCCCAUUGAACAUAAUUAUAUUUUCUAAAAUUAAUAUCAAACAAGAGUUUAGAAUCUAAAAUUAAUUUGAUAUAAAAAUUGAAACUUUUUGUUGAACAUUAUUAUUAUUAUUAUUAUUACACCUUAAUAUACCUAUUAAAGUAUCAUUUUUAACAUCAUUUUUUUCAAGGCCAUGACAUCGAAGGAUAACUAAACUGCUUGCAGUUCUCGCUAAGAGGAUAUUCACCAAUGGCAAUGGGGGAUAUAAGUGCUGCCCAGAGUCCCUAGACUAUUGAAUUCGAGAAAAUCAUUUAGUUUUGAUUGCAGCUGAAAAGGAUGCAAAUCCCAGAUAACAUCAAAAACCUCAAACACCUCCAUGUACCCUAAUUUAUGACAACAUUAGUAAGUAAUUUACUAAUUGUGAAAAUUUCAGCUUGGAGGAGUAUACUUGCUAGUGACCUGGUGUGACUUUAAUUCAAACCUUAAUUGAGCAGACAAAUGUAGAAAGACAGGAAGCUCUAACAUUUCAGAAUGCAUCUGCUCUGUUUGCGGUGGGUAACUUGGGGGCCUGUCCAUCACUUCUCAUGACUUAUGAACUCGAGUCUGUAGAAUUUAACUCUGACAUGUUAUUACUUCCAAAUUCUUUUAACCUGUUAAGCUCUGGCAAAACCACUGAAGAAAGAUCUGGCCUAUCUUUCUGUUUAAUCUCGACACAUCGAAGUGCAAUUUUUGCAAAAGAAAGGGCCUCUUUGACUGGCCAAUCUGGAACACUAGGGUCAAGCAGAUCUGCAAAUGUUCCUUCAGCAAUAGAUUUCUCAACACGACGAAUUAGACCCAUGGGAGGCCUAGCAGUAAGAAUCUGAAGUAGCAUUACACCAAAUGAGUACAGAUCUGAUUUAACCACCAACUUGCCUGUUUGUUGAAAUUCAGGAUCAAUGUAACAAAAUGUCCCCGCUGCUGAAGUCAUGCGAUAUUGUGUGACAUUAUCAGCUAUUGAAGCUGGGAGUAGACGUGACAAACCAACAUCACCAAUUUUGCACGUGUAAUUGCUGUCCAAAAGGAUGUUGGCUGGCUUAACGUCACAGUGCACAAGAGGUUCUGGUUUCGCAUUGUGCAGGAACAGAAGUCCAGUUGCAAUAUCAGCUGCUAUUCUAAACCGUAUUCUCCAUGAUAUUGGGGGAGUGUUACCUUUUCUAAAUAGACGAUCUUCCAGACUGCCAUAGCUCAUGUAUUCGUAUACUAAACAGCCAUACUGGGGGCACGCACCCAGGAGAAGGACCAUAUUUGGGUGCCUCAUGCGAGAUAGGAUCUCAACCUGCAUAUAACAGAAACAAUUUUUUACAAAUGAACAGAAGAAAACAAAAAGGAAUUCAUAGAGUGAGUCAAUAUGUAGUAAUCUACACCAUAUAAAGACUGGCAAUUUUCACACCAAGUGGCAAGUAUAUCAUGAUUAAAAUCUGUCAUUGUACGGGUGUGGGAGCCAUCACACAUGACUGAUAUGUCAUGAGGUGACAAUCAACAGCAAAUUAAAUAGGGGGGAGACAGAUGCGAGUUUUAACCCAUAUAUUGCAAGAGAAAAAGGGCCAAAAGGCACAAAUUUUAUAUAAAAGGUCCGAAAUGGCAUCCAAAAAACAUUGGCCCUUAAUUUGCAUAUAUAUAACUUAAAACUUGAUUGCAUUAGUUGCUCAUAAUAACAGAAGUUUCAAUUACUAGCUCUUCUCUCAAAUCAAAUCUUCUUUCUAUGACUAUUUCCAAAUCCAGAUUUUGCUUCUAUGACUACUCCAAAUCAUUCCCCAGCCCUUCCUCACCUAUACACAUAUAACAAUUGCAAACACACAUGCAUACAGCGCAUAGUUGUUAGAUCAAAGUGUUCUUACUGAAGAGGUUGGACAAAACGGCUAAAACAAGUAUACAAAUUGCACUCCAAGUUAUUUGGUUAUGUGGAGUAACAUGUAUGGGCCCGGAUAUUCUAAUUACAAAUCUGGAGAAAAUACAAAUAAUAAUUGCGUUUUUCACUUUAGACACAAUUUUAUAUAAGUUUGGACUCUUCGCUAACAAAAUCAUUGCCUGCGUUUCACCGGAAAAGAAUAUGUAAAAUGUGUUUUUACCAUGUAAGGCAUGCUCUAGUUGCAUUAUCAAUGUACCAAUAUGGACCAGAUUUCUGAUCUGUUCCAUUUUGAGCAUUUUCUGUCAAAAUGGUGUAACCCAAACCUGGCAUUUUGAACCCAAAAAUUGAUUGGGGACGGGAAAAGUAAAUGUGCAUCCACAAUGAUCUCAAACAACAAAGAGAUGCUAAAAGAUCUCAAACAACAAAGAGAUGCUAAAAGAUAAUCUCUAGUGCAUUUAGAUGACUUAACUAUAAAGGGAUCAUGUAUGUAUAUACAUAAAUGUGAUUCUAGAAUGAUCUCAAACAACAAAGAGAUGCUAAAAGAAUUUAUUUAAAAUUUAAGGUUCUGCAGCAAAUGCUUAGUAAUUCUAAGUUUCUAUUUCAAGGAUUGUUUCUCUCUUGAGCGCGACCCUAUAUAUGAAUACUAUCUGCCAAAAAUUACAGCAGUAUCAGCAGAACCAUAUUAUUUUAAUCCCUAACCACUGUCUUUAAGAUCAAUCGAAAGAUUAAAUAAACUAAACGAGAAUUUUACCUAGAGGUACUGGUGGAUCAAUGGAGCUUCUCCCACAUAUUUACAUGGAUUUUUAAUACAAAACUAAACUUUAGAUACUUAUAGACAUGCUAUUCUUCCUAUUUUUGCGACUUGGUGACUGAAUCAAAGGAGUUGAUUAUUCAUCCACAGUUCAGACGUUCAACAAGUCACAUGUGAAGAUUAAGGGAAUACAUAGCUCAUGGCUGGGCCAAUGAAACUGUUGUGAGUUUAUGAUUCAUUCUGAGCAGCAUCCAAAUAGACAUGCUCAUAAUCAUAAGCUUUUCUUCUUUUAAAACCAUCGGCAUGCGUGGUUAAACAGAACCAAUGUGAAAAGCAAUCAUUUCCUCAUCUCCUAAACUCUUCAAAUUUGCUCCAAAGCUUUUUUCUU
rnacentral:lncRNA from 1 species